UUGCUUUACCAGCACAUAUGCUAAAGUUGGAAUGAUACAGACAAGGUUAACAUAGCCCCUGCAUAAGGAUGACACAUUAAUUUGUGAAGCAGCCCAUAAUUUU